UUAUGCACAUGCUCACACGGAGCUCUCUAAAGGCAUUCUGAUUACCGUCAUUGUACGAUUGAAUACUUGGAGAUACCACAUUAGAGGGACGAGGAUUUUGAGACACUGAGUACACGAGGGAGGGGAAGGUGCCUUCCAAAAGUGAUGUUUAUUCUCAAGCGCUCGCACAAACAUUCCUUUGCAGUCGAUGUGGUCGCUGUGUCUGAUCCAUGCUUACAUUCCUCCACACAAUUUCCAAUUUCAAAGCUAAUAUUGCAUACUUCCAAAUGCUGCCAUUGCACACUACGUUCGAGUGAUCUAUGGGUGUGUCUUGGACUACACUACUGUACUUUAAUGGCAUAUACAUUGUUCCACUUUUGGGAUGGUAGCAUAUACAUUCUGGAAAACUAUAGCCCAUAUACAGCUCAAUUUUGCCUUGUGAAAUAUAGUGUGAAUGUUUGCCGACUGCUAAAAUAGGAACUGCAGCGCAGAAACACAGCUGCAGCGCAAAACAUGCAUGAAUUCUGUUUGCCUGAGAACAGGCAAGUUUUCUUGACAAUACACACUACCAUGCUUGUGCUGAGGGAAAAUUCCUGCACUCUUCACAAGCAGUUUGAUCACGCCAUUUCAAGCUGCAUUUAUAAGCACGCAGAGCAAGAUUUCACAAGCCUGACAUGCCCAAGCAACUCCACACUGGUGAGAAGACAAACAAUAUGAAAGCAGUGAAGAGGGGUUCGGAGGCGCUUUUUUUUGCUUGUGCUUCACCCACCCUACAUGCACUAAAUCUUCUUUUCUUAGACAGGAAAGGAGGGAUAAAAUGACGAGGAGGUUUCUUUCUACAGCGCCGCCUUGCGCUCAUCCUUCUCGAAGGGAGAGGAGGAAUAGGAAGAGUGUCUUCCCCAACAGUGGCGUUGGAGUGAGGGAGGGGGAUAAGAAACGCUGUCAGCUAUUCGCGCCAAAAAGCGCAUUUUUGGUGGCAAUCAGUGCGCAUACUGCAGAGUGCGACAAUGUCGCUCGCAUCCCUGCGCUGCAAAAAGUGAAGAGGCGCAUCACGCAGCUCCCGGAGGAUUUCAGAAAUGAUUUAAAAGUAGCAUCCGCAAGAUCUCAUAAUUAAUCGUAAGUAAAAUUUUGUUUUCUAGUUAAUGUGCUCGUGUAAAGAUGCGCUUCUCAGGACCGAGCUAGUUUCUUCAAUAUCUCUCUCAUUUCUUUUGUCAUUCCAGAUGAACAACCUUUCUGUUACUGCAUACAUUUGGCAUCAGACAUCAACGAAAACCGGUGGCUUUCUUUAGGUGUACUCUCACUUUCUGUCUUUCUCAAGUGUGAUACAUUGAUUAGUUUGGUUGUGCUUAUUACUUGCAGGGCACACUGCGAUGGAGCACUGAAAUGGGAGCCCUUAUGGCGACAAAUAAUUUGCGGCUUAUGCUACAGCGACUGCUCCAGGCUAGGCUGGAACUCUGCUGGGCCCUGGCAAAACUAUAUUUUCCCCUGGUACUGUUCACAAACACAAAUUGCACUGCUCAUCUGUUUGGAGCCCUGUAUCUGCAGCUUUCGUCGGUCUGAGACGCAGCCAGCUGUUAUUCCACAGAGAUACUGAGGACUGACUGCUUGUUACCAAGGGCAUGUAAACUGGUGAAUCCCCUGGAUGGCAAAUAUUCAGAAGUAUCUCUCAGCCGACUUUAACAUGUACCAUGGCGUAGGCAUCUUUUUAGAGGUGAGUGCUUCUCUCAGGUACUACUAUCAGAUUGCUAAUACUGCACCUUUCCUUUGCAGCUUUCUGCUACCAAAUGUGAAUUUGGAUUCAACUUCACAGUGACAAGUCAUUUGUUGUUUUUUCAAUAAUAAAAAAAAAUUAUCUGCAAUAAAGAAUGCUGAGAAACGUAGUUGUGUGCACCAAUUUUGUUGGCACACGGGCUCGUAGUAGGUUUAAACCCAUUGGUUUACAUGAACCAAUUGGAUUGCAAAAUCAUUUCAACCAUUCCAAUUGGGUUUCCCCUACUAUUUGAGAAAGCAUUCCAACUCGUUCGGAAGACCAGUUGGUGUGAAUUGUCAAUUGGUGCAGUUCCAAAUGGUGGAGAAAACACAUUUGGAAAUUUCCGAUGUUUUCUUUUUUUACUGUGCACACUCACACUUCCGAUAGGCGUCAGUUAGAAUACUGAGUUGGAAAACUUUGCAAAUACUUCUUCUGAAGUUCAAGUAUCUCACCGGUAAGUAGUUUAGCAUGACUAAGGCAAAGCAUAAUCAAUUUCACAAAUACCACAAUUCCAAAAGAACUGGCACACUGCAUUGACUUUCAGCUGACAACUAUUUUUGCUAAAAGCCUUCGCGUGUAAAUACAACCUGAGGUAGCUUAAAUCUAGGUCCCAUGGAAUAAAAAAAUAUAGUGGUGAAAGUAACACUGAAAUUUGCUAUCCCGUGAACAUGAGUGAAAACUUAAUUUGAAAAGGUUUGCUUGAAAGGAAAACAUUCAUGGCCGUAACGCUGCUCCCCAUUGCGAGUCACAAAAAAAAAAUAAUAAUAUAGGAGAUAAAAGAGGCAGACUGAAAAAAAUGUAAGAUAUAAAAUAAAUUAAGCUGCAUGAUGAAUAGACACUUCGUCAAUAUUUGAAGCAGAUCAUUUGUGGAUAUCAAGAAAUGUGCAGUGGAUAACAGCGAAACAUGGUAAACGACUGACUGACGGAAGUAAGGCUCACAGGAUAAGUUUUUCUGUAUCUACACCAAUAACGCAGCAUGCAUUCGUGCAAUUAAAUUACCCGCUAUGCGCAGCAAUCGCAUUCGAGUGAUGCCGCCAACGCAGCGACAUGCCAUUUGUUAUUUCAGGACCACGAAAAACAAGGUAUUCACCUAAGUACAGUGCCAUUUUACCUGUCGGUAUGCUGUUAAUUUACAUACGGUGAAAACAAAUGUCACGGAGUCCAAGCCUACGACUGCACAAGUCAAACUGCGCUUGCAUGGAUAUCGCACACGUUUGGACCCUUUUGACGCACACAAAAACUCGUGCAGAGCAUCUUGCAACCGAUACAAUGGCAAUGACUAAUGUACAUUCGAGAGUAGCUGUUUCAAAAAGCAAAAACAAGCAACGAUGUGACAUCACAUCCUGUGAAAAAGGGUUGUUCUCCUUUCUCACCUUCUUUCAGCUCAUGCAUGCACAGUGACCACGAAGCCCUCGGGGGCAAUGUUCAAAUUUGUUUUAAUUAGGUAACAAUAUCUCAUGGCGAAUUUGGCAAAUCGCACCAGUAUGCACUGGGACUACCUAAUGCGCUGUUUCAGCCAAUCAUCCUUGCCCCAGGGCACACCGAUGCACACUGGCGUUUUGCCGAAUUCGCCAUCAGCCAGUUUAUGCGUCCAACAUUCCAUAGCCGCCACCAAGCAAACAUGUUUAAGUAUGGUGGAUUUUACCAGCUGCAGCAUUUCAUUGGCAUAAUGAAUGCACGGCUUCCGUUGUUAGUGAUCUGCUGUGUGUGGCCGCGCAAUGACGUGUUGCUUGAAAUAAAGAUGUGCUAGCUAGCACAAUAAUUCAUUGCUGGAACCGAGCACAGUCUGCUUGGAGAUCACCCCCAACAGUUGAUUAACCUUGCAGUCUCUAGGUGCGUGCAUCGGCAAGUAAAAUACAGAGAUUCGCAUUUUCAACUUUGAAUUUCUUUGCAUGCGAGACGAAUAAAACAGGUUCCCGUGGUCAUUUCUUAGCAGCAGAAGCUUCAUGUGGGCGAGUUGGUUUUGCAUACUUGAAGAAAAGAGUGCUACGAAGACGCGGACUAAAAGAGGAGCGUGUACGACGGACAAG